rnacentral:rRNA from 1 species
UUCCCGGUUGAUCCCGCCAGACCUGACUGCUAUCGGAUUGAUACUAAGCCAUGCGAGUCAUUGUAGCAAUACAAGGCAUACGGCUCAGUAACGCGUAGUCAACCUAACCUAUGGACGGGAAUAACCUCGGGAAACUGAGAAUAAUGCCCGAUAGAACAUUAUACCUGGAAUGGUUUAUGUUCCAAAUGAUUUAUCGCCGUAGGAUGGGACUGCGGCCUAUCAGUUUGUUGGUGAGGUAAUGGCCCACCAAGACUAUUACAGGUACGGGCUCUGAGAGGAGUAGCCCGGAGAUGGGUACUGAGACACGGACCCAGGCCCUAUGGGGCGCAGCAGGCGAGAAAACUUUGCAAUGUGCGAAAGCACGACAAGGUUAAUCCGAGUGAUUUCUGCUAAAGAAAUCUUUUGUUAGUCCUAGAAACACUAGCGAAUAAGGGGUGGGCAAGUUCUGGUGUCAGCCGCCGCGGUAAAACCAGCACCUCAAGUGGUCAGGAUGAUUAUUGGGCCUAAAGCAUCCGUAGCCGGCUCUGUAAGUUUUCGGUUAAAUCUGUACGCUCAACGUACAGGCCGCCGGGAAUGCUGCAAAGCUAGGGAGUGGGAGAAGUAGACGGUACUCGGUAGGAAGUGGUAAAAUGCUUUGAUCUAUCGAUGACCACCUGUGGCGAAGGCGGUCUGCUAGAACACGUCCGACGGUGAGGGAUGAAAGCUGGGGGAGCAAACCGGAUUAGAUACCCGGGUAGUCCCAGCUGUAAACUAUGCAAACUCAGUGAUGCAUUGGCUUGUGGCCAAUGCAGUGCUGCAGGGAAGCCGUUAAGUUUGCCGCCUGGGAAGUACGUACGCAAGUAUGAAACUUAAAGGAAUUGGCGGGGGAGCACCACAAGGGGUGAAGCCUGCGGUUCAAUUGGAUUCAACGCCGGG